GGCGGCGACACCCAUCACAUCUAUUUUUCCUCCCUUAGCAUCACGUGCUCAGAUUGCUAAAAUUAAGAGUGAUGCUAAGUAUUAUGUUUGGGAUGACCCAUGUCUAUGGAAGUUGUGUAGUGACCAGGUUACUAAGAGAUGCAUUUCGGACCAUGAGAUUGACUCGGUCCUGCAAUUUUGUCAUGCCUCCUCACCUAGUGGUAAUCUGGGGAUUCAACGAACAGCUCGCAGGGUGCUUGAUUGUGGUUUGUACUGG
rnacentral:lncRNA from 1 species